GGUCACUCUAUCAAUUCUUCCGCAUGUUUUUGUUAACACUUUAUUUGUAUUAACUACAGUUUCUUUCUUUAAACAAGAGUUUGAGGAGAAAACCAAGGACAGGGGUGAGGCAUCAGUUAUGUUCAGUCACUUAGGCCCCCCUCGGAGACGAAUUGCUGAAGAAGAGAGAGCGAAACAUCCAAAGCCAGAAGUAUUGAAGGAUCUGGAGCACGUGGUGGUGUACAUGGUGUUGCUGAGUAUGUAGAAGGUCACCCGCGAUGGUCUAAGGCAGUAUGGAAACUGAUGAGUCAGCCGAUGAAAACUAUGUGCUCGAUAACAACACAUUUUCCAUCUAGUGGAGGGCCAUUUGUGAAAAUGAACUUCAUGCCUAUCAUGAUUAUGUGGUUCCCAAGCUAUGACUCCUUGCUUAGAAAGGGUUUCCUACAUCCACUAAAUUGUACUAACUGGAUUGGAGAUUGAGUUAACAGUCAAAUUGGGAAGCAAGUGGUGAAGGUUGGAAGGAGCUCCGGCUUAACUACUGGGACAAUAACCUCCUAUGCAUUUGAGUACAAUGACGAGAAAGAUGAGAGAUACACUCAUUUGCAGAGCUUCGCCAAAGACGUUCAUGAAUGAAAUAUUUUUUUGAUUGUUAAAUAUUUCCAGAUGAGGAUGUAAUUUUACACAUUUAUUAGAUUGACAUAAA